rnacentral:rRNA from 1 species
GAUGAACGCUAGCUACAGGCUUAACACAUGCAAGUCGAGGGGCAGCACAGUGUAGCAAUGCAUGGGUGGCGACCGGCGCACGGGUGCGUAACGCGUAUCCAACCUUCCCGAUACUCAGGGAUAGCCUUCCGAAAGGGAGAUUAAUACCUGAUGGUGUUUCAAUUCCGCAUGUUAAUGAAACUAAAGAUUUAUCGGUAUCGGAUGGGGAUGCGUGACAUUAGAUAGUAGGCGGGGUAACGGCCCACCUAGUCUACGAUGUCUAGGGGUUCUGAGAGGAAGGUCCCCCCACACUGGAACUGAGACACGGUCCAGACUCCUACGGGAGGCAGCAGUGAGGAAUAUUGGUCAAUGGUCGGAAGACUGAACCAGCCAAGUAGCGUGAAGGAUGAAGGUUCUAUGGAUUGUAAACUUCUUUUAUACGGGAAUAAAACCUCCCACGUGUGGGAGCUUGUAUGUACCGUAUGAAUAAGCAUCGGCUAACUCCGUGCCAGCAGCCGACGG